UUGCUUUUUAGCCAUUUCUUAUAUACCAAGAGUUGAAAAAUUACUGUCUUGCUUUGAUCCAAAAUUAUUCGUUUCUGGACAAGGAAUUGAACAGCUUUGCAGUCCGGAUGAUGGUUAUUACUUUUUCAACUAUUGGACAUAUUGUCCGUAUGGAAUACCAUAAAUUGUUAUGGGAAAGAGACAAUUCAACUUGAAAUAAAAUAUGCACCAAUUUUUAUGAUAAUUAACACUUGUGGAAUAUUAAACGGCAAAAACGAUCAUUGGAGGAAUAAGUCUUUUAAAAUUCUUUUAACGAUUUCUUGUUGGUGAUAAUUUUAAGAGAAAGAUAUAAAUGUAAAUUAUUUAAAAUA